CCUUCGGUAUCGUCACAGGGCGGGCGUUCGGCGACGUCACCGGGGAGGUACAGUGCUUGGAGCUGGGCAGUCUUCUACUUAGAGUGGAGCCUGGUAACCGCGACCUCUCCGCCAAGUCCUGUGUGUUGACAAACACCGACUCAGCACAGUGUUUAUGUCUGUCAAAAAUAGAAAACUAUGUCCGGGCGCGGCCAGCGGGAGAAGCCCUUCAGGCCAAGAGCAGCCUGGCAACAUGGCGGGACCCCAUCUCUGUAGUCCUACCUCAGCCCCCCAGCUACUUGAACCCUAAGGUUCAAGGCUCCAAUGAGCUGUGAUCCCACCACAGCACUCCAGCCUGCGAGACUGAGAUGAUGAUUAUUCUCCACCUUCUAAGAGAACAAAGACCAGCGAGCCACCACAGCCACCAGUCCUGGAACCCGCCAAUGCUGGGGAACGGAAAGUGAGGGAGUUCAACUCUGUAAAGGAAGAAUGGUAUGCCAGAAUCACUAAAUGAAGAAAGAUGGUGGAUCAGCUUUUCUGCAAAAAAAUUUGCUGAAGCCUUGGGGAGCACUGAAGCCAAGGCUCUACUGUACCAAAAAUUUGAAGGCCAUGCGAAUGAUCUGUAUGUGGAAGGGCUACCAGAAAACAUUCCUUUCAGAAGUCCCUCGUGGUGUGGAAUCCCAAGGCUGGAAAACAUCAUUCAAGUGGGCAAUCAAAUUAAAUUUCUUAUUAAAAGUAACUCCAGUCGGACUCCAUUGUCUCCAAGUCGACUUUCGUCCUCAUCCACAACUCCUCCACACAAGCCCUGAACACGUGUCCAUCUCAAGCUCUUGGACUCAGAGGCAGUAAAAGUACCAUAUUCUGUGUUUGAAUCAAACCCCGAGUUCCUGUAUGUAGAAGGCUUGCCAGACAGAAUUCCCUUUCCAAGCCCUACCUGGUUUGGAAUUCCAUGACUUGAAAGGAUCAUCUGUGGAGUAAUAAAACCAAGUUUGUUGUUAAAAAGUAAGUUCCAGGCCGGGUAUGGUGGCUCACGCCUGUAAUCCCAGCACUUUGGGAGGCCAAGGCAGGUGAAUCACCUGAGGUCAGGAGUUCAAGACCAGCCAGACCAACAUCUCUACUAAAAAUGUUAAAAAUUAGCCAGGCAUGGUGGCUGGUGCCUGUAA